rnacentral:rRNA from 1 species
AGCAGCCGCGGUAAUUCCAGCUCCAAUAGCGUAUAUUAAAGUUGUUGCAGUUAAAGAGCUCGUAGCUGAAUUUCGGGGUUAGUAGGUUGGUCAUGCCUCUGGUAUGUACUGGUCUCACUGAUUCCUCCUUCCUGAUGAACCGUAAUGCCAUUAAUUUGGUGUUGCGGGGAAUUUGGACUGUUACUUUGAAAAAAUUAGAGUGUUUAAAGCAAGCUAACGCUUGAAUACAUUAGCAUGGAAUAAUGAAAUAGGACGUUCGAUCCUAUUUUGUUGGUUUCUAGGAUUGACGUAAUGAUUAAUAGGGAUAGUUGGGGGCACUAGUAUUCAAUUGUCAGAGGUGAAAUUCUUGGAUUUAUUGAAGACUAACUACUGCGAAAGCAUUUGCCAAGGAUGUUUUCAUUAAUCAAGAACGAAAGUUAGGGGAUCGAAGACGAUCAGAUACCGUCGUAGUCUUAACCAUAAACUAUGCCGACUAGGGAUCGGAUGAUGUUAAUUUUUUAAUGACUC